rfam:Salmo salar isolate Sally breed double haploid chromosome ssa09, whole genome shotgun sequence.
UCCCAUGUAGCUCAGUUGGUAGAGCAUGGUGCUUGCAACACCAGGGUUGUGGGUUCGAUUCCCACUGGGGA